GGCGUAAGCGCACGCAAGGCGGUCUGUCAAGUCGGAUGUGAAAUCCCCGGGCUCAACCUGGGAACUGCAUUCGAAACUGGCAGGCUGGAGUCUUGUAGAGGGGGGUAGAAUUCCAGGUGUAGCGGUGAAAUGCGUAGAGAUCUGGAGGAAUCCGGUGGCGAAGGCGGCCCCCUGGACAAAGACUGACGCUCAAGUGCGAAAGCGUGAGGAGCAAACAGGAUUAGAUACCCUGGAAAAUCAAAGCAGAAAACGUUGUCGUCUUGAAGAAUGUACCCUUGAAGUGUGGAUUCCGGUGCUACGCGUUUGUCGUCCGCCUGAAGAGAACGGCCGCAAGGUUAAACUCAAAUGAUUGACGGGGGCCCGCAAUGCGGUGGUGCAUGUGAAUAAAAUCAAUGCACGCGAUGUUCCUUUCCUGCUCUUGAAAUCAAGUGAACUUUGAAGUGAUGCUUUGAUGACAUCGGAAAAAUCAGUAAAAGGUGCUGCAUGAAUGUCGUCAGCUCGUGAUGUGAAAUGAUGGGAAUAAAUCACGCAACGUGCGAACCCUUUUCCUUUGAAUGCAUGAGGAUUCGGGUCGGAAAAAACAAAAAAAAAAAUGCAGUGAUAUCCUGAAGGAAGGUGGGGGAUGACGUCAUGACCAUCAUGGACCCUUGAGUGAUUGGGCUUAAAAACAUGAUAAAAUGGAUUUUACAAUGAUGUGGCGACACUCAACGAGAGCAAGCGGUCACUCAU
rnacentral:rRNA from 1 species